GUGCCAGCGCCGCGGUAAUACGUAGAGGGCAAGCGUUGUCCGGAAUCAUUGGGCGUAAAGGGUACGCAGGCGGAUAUGCAAGUCAAAUGUGAAAGGUACCGGCCCAACCGGUAGAGUGCAUUUGAAACUGUAUAUCUUGAGUACAGCAGAGGAGAACGGAAUUCCUGGAGUAGCGGUGGAAUGCGUAGAUAUCAGGAAGAACACCAGUGGCGUAGGCGGUUCUCUGGGCUGUAACUGACGCUGAGGUACGAAAGCUGGGGGAGCGAACGGGAUUAGAAACCCGGGUAUCC
rnacentral:rRNA from 1 species